GACGAACCGUGCGAACGUUAUUCGGAAUCAUUGGGCUUAAAGGGCGCGUAGGCGGCGGUGUAAGUUGGAAGUGAAAUCCCAUCGGCUCAACCGUGGAAUUGCUCCCAGUACUGCACUGCUCGAGGGGGAUAGGGGUCUGCGGAACUACCGGUGGAGCGGUGAAAUGUGUUGAUAUCUGGAGGAACACCGGUGGCGAAGGCGGCAUUCUGGACCACAACUGACACUGAGAGACGAAAGCCAGGGGAGCAAACGGG
rnacentral:rRNA from 1 species